rnacentral:rRNA from 1 species
AUUGAACGCUGGCGGCAGGCCUAACACAUGCAAGUCGAGCGGAUGAAGGGAGCUUGCUCCUGGAUUCAGCGGCGGACGGGUGAGUAAUGCCUAGGAAUCUGCCUGGUAGUGGGGGAUAACGUCCGGAAACGGGCGCUAAUACCGCAUACGUCCUGAGUGAGAAAGUGGGGGAUCUUCGGACCUCACGCUAUCAGAUGAGCCUAGGUCGGAUUAGCUAGUUGGUGGGGUAAAGGCCUACCAAGGCGACGAUCCGUAACUGGUCUGAGAGGAUGAUCAGUCACACUGGAACUGAGACACGGUCCAGACUCCUACGGGAGGCAGCAGUGGGGAAUAUUGGACAAUGGGCGAAAGCCUGAUCCAGCCAUGCCGCGUGUGUGAAGAAGGUCUUCGGAUUGUAAAGCACUUUAAGUUGGGAGGAAGGGAAGUAAGUUAAUACCUUGCUGUUUUGACGUUACCAACAGAAUAAGCACCGGCUAACUUCGUG